GCAUGCAAGUCGAACGGCCCAGUCCCGACUUGUCGGGAUGACGGCAGUGGCAGACGGCUGAGUAACACGUAAGUGACCUAUCCCAAUGCGGGGGAUAAUUCCGAGAAAUUGGACCUAAUACCCCGUAAGACCCUUUCCGCUACGUCGGGAAGGGUGAAAGGCUCCCUCUGAUUCGUUGGGGGGCGUCGCUUUGGGAGGGGCUUGCGGUCUAUCAGGUAGUUGGUGGGGUAAUGGCCUACCAAGCCGAAGACGGAUAGCCGGUGUGAGAGCAUGAUCGGUCAGAGGGGGACUGAGACACGGCCCCCACUCCUACGGGAGGCAGCAGCAAGGAAUCUUGCGCAAUGGGCGAAAGCCUGACGCAGCGACACCGCGUGGGGGAAGAAUGCCCUAGGGUUGUAAACCCCUUUUCUCGGGGAAGAGCAAGGACGGUACCCGAGGAAUAAGGUUCGGCUAACUACGUGCCAGCAGCCGCGGUAAUACGUAGGAACCGAGCGUUGUCCGGAAUUACUGGGCGUAAAGGGCGCGUAGGCGGCCUAUUAAGUCCCAUGUGAAAUCUCCCGGCCUAACUGGGAGGGGUCAUGAGAAACUGGUAGGCUUGAGGGCAGCAGAGGAGAGUGGAAUUCCCGGAGUAGUGGUGAUAUGCGUAGAU
rnacentral:rRNA from 1 species